UCGGGAAUUUUGGGCAAUGGGCGAAAGCCUGACCCAGCAACGCCGCGUGAGGGAUGAAGUAUUUCGGUAUGUAAACCUCGAAAGAAUGGGAAGAAUAAAUGACGGUACCAUUUAUAAGCUCCGGCUAACUACGUGCCAGCAGCCGCGGUAAUACGUAGGGAGCAAGCGUUGUUCGGAUUCACUGGGCGUAAAGGGCGCGUAGGCGGCGCGGUAAGUCACUUGUGAAAUCUCUGAGCUUAACUCAGAACGGCCAAGUGAUACUGCUGUGCUAGAGUGCGGAAGAGGCAACCGGAAUUCUUGGUGUAGCGGUGAAAUGCGUAGAUAUCAAGAGGAACACCUGAGGCGAAGGCGGGUUGCUGGGCCGACACUGACGCUGAUGCGCGAAAGCCAGGGGAGCAAACG
rnacentral:rRNA from 1 species